GCCCCCGUUGUCUAAUGGUUCAGGACGUCAGACUUCUAUACUUCGAUUACGUAAUUUAGGGAUCUGAAGGUUGCGUGUUCGAAUCCCGCCGGGGGUU